ACCAGACUCCUACGGGAGGCAGCAGUGGGGGAUAUUGCACAAUGGGGGGAACCCUGAUGCAGCGACGCCGCGUGGGUGAAGAAGCGCCUCGGCGCGUAAAGCCCUGUCAGCAGGGAAGAAAAUGACGGUACCUGAAGAAGAAGCCCCGGCUAACUACGUGCCAGCAGCCGCGGUAAUACGUAGGGGGCAAGCGUUAUCCGGAUUUACUGGGUGUAAAGGGGGCGCAGACGGCGAUGCAAGCCAGGAGUGAAAGCCCGGGGCCCAACCCCGGGACUGCUCUUGGAACUGCGUGGCUGGAGUGCAGGAGGGGCAGGCGGAAUUCCUGGUGUAGCGGUGAAAUGCGUAGAUAUUAGGAGGAACACCAGUGGCGAAGGCGGCCUGCUGGACGAUGACUGACGUUGAGGCUCGAAAGCGUGGGGAGCAAACAGGAUUAGAUACCCGAGUACU
rnacentral:rRNA from 1 species